rnacentral:rRNA from 1 species
CGGCGGACGGGUGAGUAAUGUAUGGGGAUCUGCCUGACGGCGGGGGAUAACUACUGGAAACGGUAGCUAAUACCGCAUAAUGUCUACGGACCAAAGCGGGGGACCUCCGGGCCUCGCGCCAUCAGAUGAACCCAUAUGGGAUUAGCUAGUAGGUAAGGUAACGGCUUACCUAGGCGACGAUCCCUAGCUGGUCUGAGAGGAUGAUCAGCCACACUGGGACUGAGACACGGCCCAG